rnacentral:rRNA from 1 species
GGUUAAGCGACUAAGCGUACACGGUGGAUGCCCUGGCAGUCAGAGGCGAUGAAGGACGUGCUAAUCUGCGAUAAGCGUCGGUAAGGUGAUAUGAACCGUUAUAACCGGCGAUUUCCGAAUGGGGAAACCCAGUGUGUUUCGACACACUAUCAUUAACUGAAUCCAUAGGUUAAUGAGGCGAACCGGGGGAACUGAAACAUCUAAGUACCCCGAGGAAAAGAAAUCAACCGAGAUUCCCCCAGUAGCGGCGAGCGAACGGGGAGCAGCCCAGAGCCUGAAUCAGUGUGUGUGUUAGUGGAAGCGUCUGGAAAGGCGCGCGAUACAGGGUGACAGCCCCGUACACAAAAAUGCACAUGCUGUGAGCUCGAUGAGUAGGGCGGGACACGUGGUAUCCUGUCUGAAUAUGGGGGGACCAUCCUCCAAGGCUAAAUACUCCUGACUGACCGAUAGUGAACCAGUACCGUGAGGGAAAGGCGAAAAGAACCCCGGCGAGGGGAGUGAAAAAGAACCUGAAACCGUGUACGUACAAGCAGUGGGAGCACGCUUAGGCGUGUGACUGCGUACCUUUUGUAUAAUGGGUCAGCGACUUAUAUUCUGUAGCAAGGUUAACCGAAUAGGGGAGCCGAAGGGAAACCGAGUCUUAACUGGGCGUUAAGUUGCAGGGUAUAGACCCGAAACCCGGUGAUCUAGCCAUGGGCAGGUUGAAGGUUGGGUAACACUAACUGGAGGACCGAACCGACUAAUGUUGAAAAAUUAGCGGAUGACUUGUGGCUGGGGGUGAAAGGCCAAUCAAACCGGGAGAUAGCUGGUUCUCCCCGAAAGCUAUUUAGGUAGCGCCUCGUGAAUUCAUCUCCGGGGGUAGAGCACUGUUUCGGCAAGGGGGUCAUCCCGACUUACCAACCCGAUGCAAACUGCGAAUACCGGAGAAUGUUAUCACGGGAGACACACGGCGGGUGCUAACGUCCGUCGUGAAGAGGGAAACAACCCAGACCGCCAGCUAAGGUCCCAAAGUCAUGGUUAAGUGGGAAACGAUGUGGGAAGGCCCAGACAGCCAGGAUGUUGGCUUAGAAGCAGCCAUCAUUUAAAGAAAGCGUAAUAGCUCACUGGUCGAGUCGGCCUGCGCGGAAGAUGUAACGGGGCUAAACCAUGCACCGAAGCUGCGGCAGCGACGCUUAUGCGUUGUUGGGUAGGGGAGCGUUCUGUAAGCCUGUGAAGGUGUGCUGUGAGGCAUGCUGGAGGUAUCAGAAGUGCGAAUGCUGACAUAAGUAACGAUAAAGCGGGUGAAAAGCCCGCUCGCCGGAAGACCAAGGGUUCCUGUCCAACGUUAAUCGGGGCAGGGUGAGUCGACCCCUAAGGCGAGGCCGAAAGGCGUAGUCGAUGGGAAACAGGUUAAUAUUCCUGUACUUGGUGUUACUGCGAAGGGGGGACGGAGAAGGCUAUGUUGGCCGGGCGACGGUUGUCCCGGUUUAAGCGUGUAGGCUGGUUUUCCAGGCAAAUCCGGAAAAUCAAGGCUGAGGCGUGAUGACGAGGCACUACGGUGCUGAAGCAACAAAUGCCCUGCUUCCAGGAAAAGCCUCUAAGCAUCAGGUAACAUCAAAUCGUACCCCAAACCGACACAGGUGGUCAGGUAGAGAAUACCAAGGCGCUUGAGAGAACUCGGGUGAAGGAACUAGGCAAAAUGGUGCCGUAACUUCGGGAGAAGGCACGCUGAUAUGUAGGUGAAGUCCCUCGCGGAUGGAGCUGAAAUCAGUCGAAGAUACCAGCUGGCUGCAACUGUUUAUUAAAAACACAGCACUGUGCAAACACGAAAGUGGACGUAUACGGUGUGACGCCUGCCCGGUGCCGGAAGGUUAAUUGAUGGGGUCAGCGCAAGCGAAGCUCUUGAUCGAAGCCCCGGUAAACGGCGGCCGUAACUAUAACGGUCCUAAGGUAGCGAAAUUCCUUGUCGGGUAAGUUCCGACCUGCACGAAUGGCGUAAUGAUGGCCAGGCUGUCUCCACCCGAGACUCAGUGAAAUUGAACUCGCUGUGAAGAUGCAGUGUACCCGCGGCAAGACGGAAAGACCCCGUGAACCUUUACUAUAGCUUGACACUGAACAUUGAGCCUUGAUGUGUAGGAUAGGUGGGAGGCUUAGAAGUGUGGACGCCAGUCUGCAUGGAGCCGACCUUGAAAUACCACCCUUUAAUGUUUGAUGUUCUAACGUUGACCCGUAAUCCGGGUUGCGGACAGUGUCUGGUGGGUAGUUUGACUGGGGCGGUCUCCUCCUAAAGAGUAACGGAGGAGCACGAAGGUUGGCUAAUCCUGGUCGGACAUCAGGAGGUUAGUGCAAUGGCAUAAGCCAGCUUGACUGCGAGCGUGACGGCGCGAGCAGGUGCGAAAGCAGGUCAUAGUGAUCCGGUGGUUCUGAAUGGAAGGGCCAUCGCUCAACGGAUAAAAGGUACUCCGGGGAUAACAGGCUGAUACCGCCCAAGAGUUCAUAUCGACGGCGGUGUUUGGCACCUCGAUGUCGGCUCAUCACAUCCUGGGGCUGAAGUAGGUCCCAAGGGUAUGGCUGUUCGCCAUUUAAAGUGGUACGCGAGCUGGGUUUAGAACGUCGUGAGACAGUUCGGUCCCUAUCUGCCGUGGGCGCUGGAGAACUGAGGGGGGCUGCUCCUAGUACGAGAGGACCGGAGUGGACGCAUCACUGGUGUUCGGGUUGUCAUGCCAAUGGCACUGCCCGGUAGCUAAAUGCGGAAGAGAUAAGUGCUGAAAGCAUCUAAGCACGAAACUUGCCCCGAGAUGAGUUCUCCCUGACCCUUUAAGGGUCCUGAAGGAACGUUGAAGACGACGACGUUGAUAGGCCGGGUGUGUAAGCGCAGCGAUGCGUUGAGCUAACCGGUACUAAUGAACCGUGAGGCUUAACCUU